GAGUUUGAUCAUGGCUCAGGACGAACGCUGGCGGCGUGCUUAAAACAUGCAAGUCGAACGGGAUUCAGCCUUCGGGCGAAGAUCUAGUGGCGAACGGGUGAGUAACACGUGAGCAACCUACCCCAGAGACCGGGAUAAGCGAGGGAAACUUCGUCUAAUACCGGAUAACCUCCUUCCGCUACUAACGGAUUGAGCAAAUGGUUUUUCGCUUUGGGAUGGGCUCGCGCACUAUCAGCUUGUUGGUGGGGUAAUGGCCUACCAAGGCAUCGACGGUUAGCUGGUCUGAGAGGAUGGUCAGCCACACUGGGACUGAGACACGGCCCAGACUCCUACGGGAGGCAGCAGUUAGGAAUCUUGCGCAAUGGGCGAAAGCCUGACGCAGCAACGCCGCGUGAGGGAUGACGGCUUUCGGGUUGUAAACCUCUUUCAGCAGGAACGAAAUUGACGGUACCUGCAGAAGAAGCACCGGCCAACUACGUGCCAGCCGCCGCAGUAAG
rnacentral:rRNA from 1 species